UAGAGUUUGAUCAUGGCUCAGAAUGUACGCUGGCGGCACGCCUAACACAUGCAAGUCGAGCGAGGUACUUGUACCUAGCGGCAGACGGGUGCGUAACAUGUGGGAAUCUGCCUUUUGGUUCGGAACAACAUGGGGAAACCUGUGCUAAUACCGGAUAAGUCCUUACGGAGAAAGAUUUAUCGCCGAAAGAUGAGCCCGCACUAGAUUAGCUUGUUGGUAAGGUAAAAGCUUACCAAGGCUACGAUCUAUAGCUGAUUUGAGAGGAUGAUCAGCCACACUGGGACUGAGACACGGCCCAGACUCCUACGGGAGGCAGCAGUGGGGAAUCUUGCACAAUGGAGGAAACUCUGAUGCAGCGAUGCCGCGUGAGUGAAGAAGGCCCUUGGGUUGUAAAGCUCUUUUGUCGGGAAAGAUAAUGACUGUACCCGAAGAAUAAGGUCCGGCUAACUUCGUGCCAGCAGCCGCGGUAAUACGAAGGGACCUAGCGUAAUUCGGAAUUACUGGGCGUAAAGCGCGCGUAGGCGGUUAAGUAAGUUAAUUGUGAAAGCCCAAAGCUCAACUUUGGAAUUGCAACUAAAACUAUUUAGCUAGAGUUUAUCAGAGGAAAGCGGAAUACAUAGUGUAGAGGUGAAAUUCGUAGAUAUUAUGUAGAACACCAGUUGCGAAGGCGGCUUUCUGGGA
rnacentral:rRNA from 1 species